rnacentral:rRNA from 1 species
GACGAACACUGGCGGCGUGCUUAAAACAUGCAAGUCGAACGAAGUGGCGAACGGGUGAGUAACGCGUAAUCAACCUGCCCUUCAGAGGGGGAUAACAGUUGGAAACGACUGCUAAUACCGAAUACUGAAGGAGGGGAUUGCGUCUGAAUAGCUAGUUGGAGGGGUAACGUCCCACCAAGGCGAUGAUCAGUAGCCGGUCUUAGAGGAGUAACGGCCACAUUGGGACUGAGACACGGCCCAGACUCCUACGGGAGGCAGCAGUGGGGAAUCUUCCGCAAUGGACGAAAGUCUGACGGAGCAACGCCGCGUGAGUGAUGACGGCCUUCGGGUUGUAAAGCUCUGUUAAUCGGGACGCGGUACCGGAAUAGAAAGCCACGGCUAACUACGUGCCAGCAGCCGCGGUAAUUC